UACGUAGGUGGCAAGCGUUGUUCGGAUUUACUGGGCGUAAAGGGCGCGUAGGCGGCGCGGUAAGUCACUUGUGAAAUCUCUGAGCUUAACUCAGAACGGCCAAGUGAUACUGCAGUGCUAGAGUGUGGAAGGGGCAAUCGGAAUUCUUGGUGUAGCGGUGAAAUGCGUAGAUAUCAAGAGGAACACCUGAGGUGAAGACGGGUUGCUGGGCCAACACUGACGCUGAUGCGCGAAAGCCAGGGGAGCAAACGGG
rnacentral:rRNA from 1 species